rnacentral:rRNA from 1 species
GAUGAACGCUAGCUACAGGCUUAACACAUGCAAGUCGAGGGGUAACGAGAGGAAAGCUUGCUUUCCUUGUCGACGACCGGCGCACGGGUGAGUAACGCGUAUCCAACCUGCCCCCAACUAGGGAAUAACCUUGCGAAAGUAAGACUAAUACCCUAUAAUUUCCUCAGAUGACAUCUGACGAGGAAUAAAGAUUUAUCGGUUGUGGAUGGGGAUGCGUCUGAUUAGCUUGUUGGCGGGGUAACGGCCCACCAAGGCAACGAUCAGUAGGGGUUCUGAGAGGAAGGUCCCCCACAUUGGAACUGAGACACGGUCCAAACUCCUACGGGAGGCAGCAGUGGGGAAUAUUGGUCAAUGGGCGGAAGCCUGAACCAGCCAAGUAGCGUGCAGGAUGACGGCCCUAUGGGUUGUAAACUGCUUUUAUACAGGAAUAAAGUUAGCCACGUGUGGUUAUUUGUAGGUACUGUAUGAAUAAGGACCGGCUAAUUCCGUGCCAGCCGCCGCAGUAAAAC